UACGUAGGGGGCAAGCGUUGUCCGGAUUUAUUGGGCGUAAAGAGCGUGUAGGCGGCUUGACAGGUCUGCUGUGAAAACUCGAGGCUCAACCUCGAGCUGUCGGUGGAAACCGUAAGGCUAGAGUCCGGAAGAGGAGAGUGGAAUUCCCGGUGUAGCGGUGUAAUGCGCAGAUAUCGGGAAGAACACCCGUGGCGAAGGCGGCUCUCUGGGACGGUACUGACGCUGAGACGCGAAAGCGUGGGGAGCGAACAGG
rnacentral:rRNA from 1 species